GUGCCAGAGCAUGCUUGCAUGCGUUGGUGCAUCGACAUUGGCCGGGCAGGAUAUCAUGAGCAGGAAGGGCGAGAGCCCGGACUGCGAAUGAUGUCCGUGAUUGCGGGAACGCCGAAGGCGUGGAGCAAUCA
rnacentral:sRNA from 1 species